UACGGGGGGGGCAAGCGUUGUUCGGAAUUACUGGGCGUAAAGCGCGUGUAGGCGGCUCUUCAAGUCAGGCGUGAAAGCCCCGGGCUCAACCCGGGAACUGCGCUUGAUACUGUCGAGCUAGAGUGUGGAAGGGGCGAUUGGAAUUCCGUGUGUAGCGGUGAAAUGCGUAGAUAUACGGAGGAACACCAGAGGCGAAGGCGGAUCGCUGGGCCAACACUGACGCUGAGACGCGAAAGCUAGGGUAGCAAACGGG
rnacentral:rRNA from 1 species